GCAUAUCAAUAAGCGGAGGAAAAGAAACUAACUAGGAUUCCCUUAGUAACGGCGAGUGAACCGGGAUGAGCUCAAAUUUGAAAUCUGGCGUCUUUCAGGCGUCCGAGUUGUAAUCUAUAGAGGCGUUUUCCGCGCCGGACCGCGUCCAAGUCUCUUGGAAUAGAGUAUCAAAGAGGGUGACAAUCCCGUACUUGACGCGACAACCGGUGCUCUGUGAUACGUUCUCAAUGAGUCGAGUUGUUUGGGAAUGCAGCUCUAAAUGGGUGGUAAAUUCCAUCUAAGGCUAAAUAUUGGCGAGAGACCGAUAGCGAACAAGUACCGUGAGGGAAAGAUGAAAAGCACUUUGGAAAGAGAGUUAAACAGCACGUGAAAUUGUUAAAAGGGAAACGAUUGAAGUCAGUCGUGUGGGAAGUAUUCAGCCGUCUCUGGCGGUGUAUUUGCUUCUCACGGGUCAACAUCAGUUUGAUCCGGUAGAAAAAGGCGGGAAGAAGGUGGCACCCUCGGGUGUGUUAUAGCUUCCUGUCAUAUGUGCCGGACCAGACUGAGGAACGCAGCUUGCAGCAAUGCCGGGGUUCGCCCACGUACAAGCUUAGGAUGUUGACAUAAUGGCUUUAAACGACCCGU
rnacentral:rRNA from 1 species